GACGAACGCUGGCGGCGCGCUUAGCACAUGCAAGUCGAGCGAUGAAAUUUCGACAGAUCCCUUCGGGGUGAAGAUGAAAUGGAUUAGCGGCGGACGGGUGAGUAACACGUGAGUAACCUGCCUUUGACAUUGGGAUAGCCUCGGGAAACUGGGAUUAAUACCAAAUGACACUAACUGAUCACAUGAUCAAUUAGUCAAAGAAAUUCGGUCAAAGAUGGACUCGCGGCUGAUUAGCUAGUUGGUGAGGUAACGGCCCACCAAGGCGACGAUCAGUAGCCGGCCUGAGAGGGUGAUCGGCCACAUUGGAACUGAGACACGGUCCAAACUCCUACGGGAGGCAGCAGUGGGGAAUAUUGCACAAUGGGGGAAACCCUGAUGCAGCGACGCCGCGUGAGCGAAGAAGGCCUUCGGGUCGUAAAGCUCUUUUAUGAGGGAAGAUAAUGACGGUACCUCAAGAAAAAGCCCCGGCUAACUACGUG
rnacentral:rRNA from 1 species